AGCCGCGAGGACACGCCGACACCCGCGGCACGGUCCCAGCUGCCCGGAGCGGAGCCGCGCUGCUCCUCACGGGCACCUUUCUGACCGCCAUCAAACACGUUUGAAGCGUCACGCUGCGAGCGAAACUUUCGCUGUCGUUGAGGACACCCUCGCGGCAGCGCUGGGAAGCAGCACCCGCUGGACUCAGCAGCCGCCAGCGGUACCUGCAGCCGCAAAGUUAACCCCACGGGCCGCCCUACCUCCGGAUCCCCCCUCCGCUCCGCUCCCAGCCCCGUCACUUACGGUGAGGCCGCCGGGGCGCUCCUCCGGCAGGGCCGAGUCCAGAGAGAAGCCCCUCCGCGCCCAGUACUUGCUGGAGAACAUCAUCAUGGCGGGCUGCAUGGGACCAGCCGGGCGGGGCAGCGCCACGCUCUGCUCCUCGCUCGCCGCGCCGCCUUUUAUACGGCCCCGCGGGGGCUGACGGAAAGCCGCCGAGGGGGGACCGGGCGCCGGUGACGGAGCCGGCUGCGGGCGGGCGCCCUCGGCCUCGCUUACCUCAUACGCCGCUGGGCAGCCCUCAGCCCUCGCCCCUCAGCAGCCCCCGGAGCAGCAGCGCUGCGGGAGCCCCGGGAGAGCUGCACCGGACCCCAUCGCGGCCUGGCUGCGGGGUGGCCUCAGGGCAGCGGCUGCAGCUCCUCACGCCUCAGUGCCCACCGUGAUGGCUCGCCUUGAACAUAACCAGAGUCCCAAACCACCCCGUGUCAGGAGCUCCAGCCCCACCAGCUGGCUUUGGGCAGCCAGGAUGCAGAUGGCCCUGGGGACUAUGUGUGGACACGGGGACAGCAGGCCUCAGUGCAUGCCAACGAUAAAUAAAUAAAAGGAGUGAAAAGUUGUGCAGUUAUUUCCACGUCAGCUUUGAUGUGAGGAAUUCUUUGAUGUAGAAACUCAUCUUUCCUCAUUUUUUUAUGAAGUUCUUCAGUGAAAAAUGUAGGCAGGUUCAGAGAGGAAGCAUUAAGGGGUAGGAGAUCUGUCUUAUAAUGAAAGACUUAGCAAACCUUCUGCAUUAAAGCAUGAUUGAUGACAUGGAAAGAGUACUUCUACUGAAAAAGGAUGCUUAAUUGGAGAAAGCUUUUUAACCGAGGCAGCAGCAGCUGUGUUUUCUACCUCGGCUAUAUAAUGGCCGGGCUCUGAUCAUAAGACUCUCUUCUAACCACAACAUCAAUAAAGCAAUUAAUAAUCUGUGGAGGUGAAACCGUCCUGUAUGGAUCCUGUGGGUCUGUUUUCGUAUUGGACCGCUUCACCUGUCUCUGAGUUGCUUAUAUCUCAAGGGCAAAAAAUUUUUCUGAAGAAUUUGCUUUCUAGUUAAUAUCAGGCCUGUAGAACCUCACAGACUGUAAAUGAGCAGAAAGUAAUUGCUCAGACAAUAACUUGGCACUCAAAUCUACUUGUGAAAUAGUUUUAAGAUCUUUUAUUUCUCUCAUACCCACAUACUGAAAACUAAUACUCAUUUUGUCACUUACUGUUGUCACUUUUUCUUCCUAUUUUUUCCCUCUCCACAUCUCUCACCUUCCAAAACUUUUCCAUUGGCUACUUUGAGUAAGUUAUACAGCAUAGAACUGAACACCACAGCUGGACUGGGAAUGUUAUGUCAGUAAGUUUUUUCAAAUACGUGCUCACUUUUCUCUGUUCUGAAACACCAGACAGGUAAAAUGGUCGCUGCUUCCCCUUGGAAAUCUCCAGUGGUGCCUUCCCUGCAGCAGCCCUAGCUGGCAUCACAUGGCCUUUACUCCUACGUGCAUACAAAGACCACAUGGAUCAAGAAUAAAGAGUUAAAAUCACACUCUCUGAAACUGAAAGACUGAGCAGGGAGCUACGCAAGGAGAGUAGCAGAAAGGCUUAGUUCUCAUGGUGCUAUGUUUCAUGCUACAGCUAAGGCUCGGCUAUAGCUUGCUAACUUUACGUAAAGUCAGUGUCUCUAUCCUUGCUAGCCUCAGUAUCUUUUAGCUAAUAUUUACAUACCUGCAUCACCGAGGAAUCCCUUUUGGUCAUAGGGUCCAGCUCAAAAGGACAACAGGAAGUUUUCUACUGUUUUGUACAGUGAGAUCUCACCAUUUACCACAACUAACAAACCAGCAAAAGCUUCAAGUCUAAACCAGCCCUUGUCAGAAAGAUGAGCCCUUUCAUAAAAUGGAAACGUAUGCCUGAUGUUCAGGACUGAGUUAGGAUCACAGCUGCUCCAUGUAAUAAUGGUUCUUCCUUUUGCUUGACAAUAAAAUUGCCAUAAUAUUUGGUUCCCUUACCUGCUCCUGUAAUGCAAAUGAAUCACUUUUGUCUUGAUAACCCACAAA